rnacentral:rRNA from 1 species
UUAAGCGACUAAGCGUACACGGUGGAUGCCCUGGCAGUCAGAGGCGAUGAAGGACGUGCUAAUCUGCGAUAAGCGUCGGUAAGGUGAUAUGAACCGUUAUAACCGGCGAUUUCCGAAUGGGGAAACCCAGUGUGUUUCGACACACUAUCAUUAACUGAAUCCAUAGGUUAAUGAGGCGAACCGGGGGAACUGAAACAUCUAAGUACCCCGAGGAAAAGAAAUCAACCGAGAUUCCCCCAGUAGCGGCGAGCGAACGGGGAGCAGCCCAGAGCCUGAAUCAGUGUGUGUGUUAGUGGAAGCGUCUGGAAAGGCGCGCGAUACAGGGUGACAGCCCCGUACACAAAAAUGCACAUGCUGUGAGCUCGAUGAGUAGGGCGGGACACGUGGUAUCCUGUCUGAAUAUGGGGGGACCAUCCUCCAAGGCUAAAUACUCCUGACUGACCGAUAGUGAACCAGUACCGUGAGGGAAAGGCGAAAAGAACCCCGGCGAGGGGAGUGAAAAAGAACCUGAAACCGUGUACGUACAAGCAGUGGGAGCACGCUUAGGCGUGUGACUGCGUACCUUUUGUAUAAUGGGUCAGCGACUUAUAUUCUGUAGCAAGGUUAACCGAAUAGGGGAGCCGAAGGGAAACCGAGUCUUAACUGGGCGUUAAGUUGCAGGGUAUAGACCCGAAACCCGGUGAUCUAGCCAUGGGCAGGUUGAAGGUUGGGUAACACUAACUGGAGGACCGAACCGACUAAUGUUGAAAAAUUAGCGGAUGACUUGUGGCUGGGGUGAAAGGCCAAUCAAACCGGGAGAUAGCUGGUUCUCCCGAAAGCUAUUUAGGUAGCGCCUCGUGAAUUCAUCUCCGGGGGUAGAGCACUGUUUCGGCAAGGGGGUCAUCCCGACUUACCAACCCGAUGCAAACUGCGAAUACCGGAGAAUGUUAUCACGGGAGACACACGGCGGGUGCUAACGUCCGUCGUGAAGAGGGAAACAACCCAGACCGCCAGCUAAGGUCCCAAAGUCAUGGUUAAGUGGGAAACGAUGUGGGAAGGCCCAGACAGCCAGGAUGUUGGCUUAGAAGCAGCCAUCAUUUAAAGAAAGCGUAAUAGCUCACUGGUCGAGUCGGCCUGCGCGGAAGAUGUAACGGGGCUAAACCAUGCACCGAAGCUGCGGCAGCGACACUAUGUGUUGUUGGGUAGGGGAGCGUUCUGUAAGCCUGUGAAGGUGUGCUGUGAGGCAUGCUGGAGGUAUCAGAAGUGCGAAUGCUGACAUAAGUAACGAUAAAGCGGGUGAAAAGCCCGCUCGCCGGAAGACCAAGGGUUCCUGUCCAACGUUAAUCGGGGCAGGGUGAGUCGACCCCUAAGGCGAGGCCGAAAGGCGUAGUCGAUGGGAAACAGGUUAAUAUUCCUGUACUUGGUGUUACUGCGAAGGGGGGACGGAGAAGGCUAUGUUGGCCGGGCGACGGUUGUCCCGGUUUAAGCGUGUAGGCUGGUUUUCCAGGCAAAUCCGGAAAAUCAAGGCUGAGGCGUGAUGACGAGGCACUACGGUGCUGAAGCAACAAAUGCCCUGCUUCCAGGAAAAGCCUCUAAGCAUCAGGUAACAUCAAAUCGUACCCCAAACCGACACAGGUGGUCAGGUAGAGAAUACCAAGGCGCUUGAGAGAACUCGGGUGAAGGAACUAGGCAAAAUGGUGCCGUAACUUCGGGAGAAGGCACGCUGAUAUGUAGGUGAAGUCCCUCGCGGAUGGAGCUGAAAUCAGUCGAAGAUACCAGCUGGCUGCAACUGUUUAUUAAAAACACAGCACUGUGCAAACACGAAAGUGGACGUAUACGGUGUGACGCCUGCCCGGUGCCGGAAGGUUAAUUGAUGGGGUUAGCGCAAGCGAAGCUCUUGAUCGAAGCCCCGGUAAACGGCGGCCGUAACUAUAACGGUCCUAAGGUAGCGAAAUUCCUUGUCGGGUAAGUUCCGACCUGCACGAAUGGCGUAAUGAUGGCCAGGCUGUCUCCACCCGAGACUCAGUGAAAUUGAACUCGCUGUGAAGAUGCAGUGUACCCGCGGCAAGACGGAAAGACCCCGUGAACCUUUACUAUAGCUUGACACUGAACAUUGAGCCUUGAUGUGUAGGAUAGGUGGGAGGCUUUGAAGUGUGGACGCCAGUCUGCAUGGAGCCGACCUUGAAAUACCACCCUUUAAUGUUUGAUGUUCUAACGUUGACCCGUAAUCCGGGUUGCGGACAGUGUCUGGUGGGUAGUUUGACUGGGGCGGUCUCCUCCUAAAGAGUAACGGAGGAGCACGAAGGUUGGCUAAUCCUGGUCGGACAUCAGGAGGUUAGUGCAAUGGCAUAAGCCAGCUUGACUGCGAGCGUGACGGCGCGAGCAGGUGCGAAAGCAGGUCAUAGUGAUCCGGUGGUUCUGAAUGGAAGGGCCAUCGCUCAACGGAUAAAAGGUACUCCGGGGAUAACAGGCUGAUACCGCCCAAGAGUUCAUAUCGACGGCGGUGUUUGGCACCUCGAUGUCGGCUCAUCACAUCCUGGGGCUGAAGUAGGUCCCAAGGGUAUGGCUGUUCGCCAUUUAAAGUGGUACGCGAGCUGGGUUUAGAACGUCGUGAGACAGUUCGGUCCCUAUCUGCCGUGGGCGCUGGAGAACUGAGGGGGGCUGCUCCUAGUACGAGAGGACCGGAGUGGACGCAUCACUGGUGUUCGGGUUGUCAUGCCAAUGGCACUGCCCGGUAGCUAAAUGCGGAAGAGAUAAGUGCUGAAAGCAUCUAAGCACGAAACUUGCCCCGAGAUGAGUUCUCCCUGACUCCUUGAGAGUCCUGAAGGAACGUUGAAGACGACGACGUUGAUAGGCCGGGUGUGUAAGCGCAGCGAUGCGUUGAGCUAACCGGUACUAAUGAACCGUGAGGCUUAACCU